GGGACUGCUUCAUCUGUCACUGGAACUACUAACGGAACAGGCUGAGUCACGGUGGUUCUGGCUGCCAAGGGCGGUUCUGUGGCUGUCGGAACCACCGCUGAGGCUUCUGUUCUUUGGUUCAGACGAUAUUCUUUAGUUACAGAUUAAGUUAUCGGAGCCACAUGUUGCGCGAAAGGGUUGUCCUUGCUGCUGCGAAAGUGAACAAAGCUGUGAUGUAAGCUGCUGGUAAAUUCGGGUUGAUUGAGAGUUCCGGUGACGCGUUUGGGUUAUGGUUUUGCGUUUUGAGGAUAUGGGUGCAAAAGUCACGAAGAGUUUAUUUAGUUGUUGAAAUGCUCUGUAUUGCUUU